GGCGGAGGGAAACCAGACAACAGCUUCCACGAGUUAUCUAACUUGGCAGCAAGGGCAAAGUUAUAGGUGCUGUUUUUCAUCAGUUUAGGCUCAAUCCAGUCUUCAAAGAAAAACUGGCAUGAAAAUCCCUCAAUCCCCCUUUCUGCUCUGAGCCCAGGGAGUGAACACAUUUCCCAAGGACUGCACAAUCCGGCCAAAGGUCCAUGAUCAUGGCAGUCUUGCCUUCAAGGUCAAGGACCAAAGAUUUCGGUUUGAAGGUAUGGAUACCAAGUGACUCCAGACCUCAAAUGUACAAAAAUUUGAACAGAGCUUGCUAGAUUUGAGAAUACCAGAUUCCUGAUGCUUGUGGAAUCCUGUGCAGAAAAAAUGGAUAUUUUUUUUUUAAAAAUACUAACAACAAUCCCCAAAACCUGAUGCUAGAGUGUUUAAUCAGGACCAGCAGGAUAGAAGACAAGGCAGCAUUAAAAGCUAUCAAUGUGUUCUGCCAGAAAAGGCCACAAAGUCACCCUUUCUCCUUUCUUAUUCAGUGAACACUAUUUGUACACUAGCCUGACACAAACUUCAAAGGAAGAAGUGAACAUUUAUAAUAUAAAGAAAAACACAAAUUAACUUCACAGUAAGAAUAUGGCCAUAUUAUUACAGUAUUUAAUUCUUUUGUAAACUAUGUAGGUCACAGCCUUAUUAAUUUUAAUGAAGCAUUUCACUUUGAGAAGACUUUAGAGAAAACAAGAUUAACUCCUUUGAGCAGUAAAAUGUUACAGGGAUUUUGAAAGAUACUUGUGUACCUCAUCACAAUACUAAUGCUAAGCUUUGUUUAAAGUAACUGAGCCUUUACAGAAAUAGGUGUAACACCAAGCUAAAAAGAGUUUUGUUCUCCUAUGAAACA